GGCUCAGAACGAACGCUGGCGGCAGGCUUAACACAUGCAAGUCGAGCGCCCCGCAAGGGGAGCGGCAGACGGGUGAGUAACGCGUGGGAAUCUACCCAUCUCUACGGAACAACUCCGGGAAACUGGAGCUAAUACCGUAUACGUCCUUCGGGAGAAAGAUUUAUCGGAGAUGGAUGAGCCCGCGUUGGAUUAGCUAGUUGGUGGGGUAAUGGCCUACCAAGGCGACGAUCCAUAGCUGGUCUGAGAGGAUGAUCAGCCACACUGGGACUGAGACACGGCCCAGACUCCUACGGGAGGCAGCAGUGGGGAAUAUUGGACAAUGGGCGAAAGCCUGAUCCAGCCAUGCCGCGUGAGUGAUGAAGGCCCUAGGGUUGUAAAGCUCU
rnacentral:rRNA from 1 species